ensembl:lncRNA
GCUGUCUGUCCUCCAUCCUGAGAUGGGCCGACUGUCCCUCCAUUCUGAGAUGGGCUGUCUGUCCCUCCAUCCUGAGAUGGGCUGUCUGUCCCUCCAACCUGAGAUGGGCUGUCUGUCCCUCCAACCUGAGAUGGGCUGUCUGUCCUCCAUCCUGAGAUGGGCUGUCUGUCCUCCAUCCUGAGAUGGGCUGUCUGUCCCUCCAUCCUGAGAUGGGCUGUCUGUCCUCCAUCCUGAGAUGGGCUGUCUGUCCUCCAUCCUGAGAUGGGCCGACUGUCCCUCCAUUCUGAGAUGGGCUGUCUGUCCCUCCAUCCUGAGGUGGGCUGUCUGUCCCACCAUCCUGAGAUGGGUCGUCUGGCCCGCUUUCCUGAGAUGGGUCGUCAGUCCCCACCCUGAGCAUUAAUGAUUCAUCAUUCAGAGGCCGUAGAGAUGGGUUGUCAGUCCCCACCCUGAGCAUUAAUGAUUCAUCAUUCAGAGGCCGUAGAGAAGCCAGAUUUAGACAUCACAUGUAAUGUAACAAUUCCAUUUCACGCCCUGCUGUUCAUAUAAAUACUUUAUUAUAAUUUACUGGUUUCUCUCAGUUAUUUAUCCUGGGAAAGGGGAGUUGUUUGGGCGGUAAAUCUCAGUAAAUGGGUUUCCGCCAUUCAAUCUUGAUCCUAAUGUUCAGAAUGAAUUGUCAAUCAGUUAAGCAGAAGCCAAGGAGUUGAUUAAAAAAACUGGUUAAAAAUAAAUGGAAACAGUUGUGGAACAGGAAGGGAAGAGGAAGAGGAAGAGACCUGUAUAAGAUCCAGGAAAAGGUUGUGGAACAGGAAGGGAAAAUGAAGAGACCUGUAUAAGAUCCAGGAAAAGGUGGGAACAGGAAGAGACCUGUAUAAGAUCCAGGAAGAGGUGGGAACAGGAAGGGAAAAGGAAGAUACCUGUAUAAGAUCCAGGAAAAGGUGGGAACAGGAAGGCAAAAGGAAGAGACCUGUAUAAGAUCCAGGAAAAGGUGGGGGCAGGAAGGGAAGAGACCUGUAUAAGAUCCAGGAAAAGGUGGGGGCAGGAAGGUCCUCAGGCUGAGAGAGAAGGGAGGAAAGUGUAAUCACAAGGAGACCGAGACACACAAGGCUCAACAGUACAUUGAAAUUGGUGGUGAAACAUCCGACUGAGAGGUGUGAUCAUUGUCAGGACAAGAUGAAGACAGUGGAACAUGUUCUAUUUCAGUGCCAGAAAUAUGUGAGAGAAAAGGGAACGAUUGUUAUUAGAUUUGAGGUGUAAUGGAGUUGAAGAGCCAAGAUUAAGCGAACUGCUGGGGAAAUCUUCAGUGGAUGUUACGAGAUCAUUGGGUAGGAUUUAUACCGUCCCUGUCUCUGGUCCACACUCCAGGCCAGUUGGUGGUGGUAAUGCACCUUAAAGUGCCAUUAAAAAAUCCACAGAAGAAGUGGCAGCUGUAAGUGGUGGUCUUGUCAUUAAUUCCAUCUGUAAGUUUUUGAUCUGAGCGUAUUACUUUUGAAUAUUUCACACAAAUAUAAUGCCUGUAAACACAAAUAUAAACAAAAAACAGUUGUGCUGACUGCAGGGGUUGUCCCAGGGGGCAUUUAAACAUUCUUAACAUUCAAUACACACGGUCUCUGCACGCUUCAAAUUACAGACAUCAUUUACAGAAAAUGGUUGAAUGGAAAGACGCUUCACUAAUUGAUUUGAUCAAGUUGAAAUAAGGACACGACGCAGUGUUGCUAUGUUGCAGCUCUGACACUAAAGGGAGCACUCACACAACAAAUCAUAGUCAAGCUUUUUGUUUCAACACUUCCACAUCUUCAGUAACACAGUUGACGGUCUCUGAAUCUUACCAACAAUGGAAGGUCAAAAUGGUGUGUAUUCAAUUCUAUUUAAACUGUAUUAUCAAAUACAGCAUAGGACCAUUCUCUUUCAAUAAAGUUAUUGUAUUUCCCAAGACAACAAUUACAAAAAACAAAAUUACAAACUCUAAAUGCAGACUUCAUAAAUUAAUGUUUAGCUACAUGUAGGCUAAUUGUUUAUAGAAAAAGAUGACAAGAGGAUAUGAGUGAGUCAUACAUGUUGAUUUUGAAAUAAUGGAACAUUAUCUGAGGGCAAGGGGGACUGCGGUUUCCACAAGUCACCACAGCCACAAAAUCUUCAUGGGCUAUAUUGUUUUAAAAAAUCAUGAAAACUAAAAUGAGCUUUUUGGUCAUAAUUUAAGGUUAGCAAUGUGGUUUAAGGGUAGGUUUACAAUCACAUGUGGGAUGGCAGGUUAGAGCGUUGGGCCAGUAACCGAAAGGUUGUCGGAUCAAAUCCCUUUGCUGACAAG